AUCUCCCCGCCCCCACUGUUGAUAUCUGAUCACACUUGAUAUCUGAUAAAGUUCCUUGUCCUCCACCUCUGACAUAUAAUUGCUUAGCCUGCCUUUAGCAAGAAUCCUCUUAGGUCCAUUUAUCAAAGAAUCCCCCCCUACCCUUAAUGUGUUCUAUUAAGUAGUUUUCUAUCCACUGACCCCCUCAUUCUUCUUCUUGGCUAUAAAUCCCCACUUGUCCCUGUUGUGUCCAGAGUUGAGCCCAAUCUGUCUUUCCUAUUAUAAUAAUUCUAUUACAUUAGUCUUGAAAAAUACCUUUCAUACUGUUUUAACAAGUGUCAGGAUGGCUUUUAUUCAAGAAGUUUUCAGAAUAAAGUUAAUAAUGACACCAUCAUCACAAGUUUACUGCAAAUUUUAAAUUUGAUUGUCUAUGUAAAGCACUUUUCCGGGAUCUGGCUCAUAGUAAGCUCUCAACUAAUGUUAUGAAUAGUACUUGAUGACAGUGAUCGCAGUGAUGAAGAUGAUGAUGGCAACAGUAAUCUGGAGGGGAAAAAGGCUCAGAAAGUGCCUCGGGAUUAUCUUAAAAUAAGCAAAUGAUGUACCUUUCUGGCCUUACUAGAAAUAAUAGAUAUUGACAUGAUAGAAAAAGGCAGUUUGUGAUGGUCAGAGAUGUUGAGUAAUGACUGGAGGCAAUAAUCAACUCAUUUUAAGUAUCCCAUUUGGAGGUCAGGUAAAUACCUGUUAGGACCCCUGCAAAGGUGAUUCCUUUAUUGAAUGAGGAUAGCCUUCAUGGCCUUCAUCCAUAUAUUCAAACUUUUGGUUUUUUUUUUUUUUUUUUUACAACAAAACACUUUAUUUAAUGAUAAUAGCAAUAACAGUAAGCAUACUUACUGAGCACGUAUUAUGCCUUGGGUACUAUUGUAACUGCUGUAAGUAUACUAACUCUUUUAAAUUUUAAAACAAGUUAAUGAGACAAGUAUUAUUACGAUCAAGUAUUUAAAAAUGAAUGAAGUGAGGUACAGAGAAAUAAGUUUUUUAGGGUCAUAAGAGUAAGUAGUAGUCAGGGAAGAGGUGGGACUAAACUCCUGAGGCAGAACUUGGACACUGGAACAAAUUGGGAACUAGCCAAAAGAGGUCCGGAGCAUAAGGACUUCUCCAUAAGACAUGCCCCAGAGUAUGCCAUGUCAGUUUACCAUUGCCAAGGCAACACCCAGACAUUACUGUCCCUUUCCAUGGCAAUGACCUGACAACCCAGUAGUUACCACCUUCAUCCUAGAAAUUUCUGCAUAAGCUGUCCCUGAAUUUGCAUAUAAUUAAAAGUGGGUCUGGACAUACUGCCUAUGGGCUAGCCCUGUUUAACUCAGCAAGGAGCAGUAGCUGUGCUGCUGCUGUAUACUGCCACUUCAGUAAAAGAUGCUGUGUAACACCAUCAGCUCGCCCUUGAAUUCUUUCCUGCACGAAACCGAGAACCCUCCCUGGCUAAGCCGCAGUUUUGGGGCUUGCCUGUCCUGCAUCAGUAGAGUUGGAAAAUGCUAUGUAAAAACAUGGCGUAUUAAACAGAUGAAAGAAGCGUGCUGUUAGAUGAAGUGGGAGUGUGGGAAUGUGGCAACCUGGUUUCUUUGUACCCCUCUUUCCACAAUGGCCCCUGGAUCAUGCUCAGGGAGUCCUCUUGGCUACUUGGAGUAAUGGGAAGAUCACUAGUCCAGAUGAGAAGUUCCCAAAUUUCAGAAUCCGGGCUGUGAUAAAGUUUUUGUCAUUAUGAGGCAAAAUAUGAAAAACUUUUAAAUGCUACCAACUCCUUAUUUGUAAACCUUAUUUAAGACUCCUCUUUAAAUUAAAAAAAAAUUACUGUGAAAGUUUCCCAGGUGAGGUAAAGAUGGUCUCUAAUGUCCCAUUUCGGACUUGAAGUGGGUAUAAUUCCUUGACACUGAGAGAUGACCUUUACUCACUGACUUGUCAGGGAGCAUCUCAGAGAGCAAGUAGAAAAAUCCAAGUUAAUGUGAGUUAUUUAGCAGCCUCAUUGUCAGUCCCACUUUUCCCUGUAUGGUGAGUCCAGCUCUUCACUUUAGUGGAACUUUAGAAUAGUCCAUGGUAUUUUCUGAGGAGAGUCCAAUAAAAUUACAGAUACUGAAAAAGAGGGAGGAAGCCUGUUUAACACUGAUACAUUGUUCUUGAGAAAUAUUUCAAAAAGCCUGGUGAACUUGCGUUACCAUUACGUACUACUGCUUUUGCACCCCUUUUCCUAUUAUAAUCUUCCAAAUGUCCCCCACUUUAUCUGUCGUGAAUGCUUAUCUAGCACAGAUCCUAGAAAAACCUAUUGGUAUCACUAUUUAUUUCCAUUUUACAGAAGGUAAAUGAGUCUCAGGUUAAAUCACAUUUCUAAGGUUUCAGAUUAAACAACUUAAUUUGUAAUAAGUGUGUGUUGGGAAUGGGAUAAGUGAGCACAGCCUCAUGGUUUACUUGAGAAUUUACUGAACAACUCAGCCUGUGUGGCAAAUCCCCUCACAUUCUCUUUGGCAUUUAACUUUCUGAAGUGACUCGAGGUUGCUCUUUUAGAGGUUGACCUCCUUCAUAGGAACAGAUUUAUCAUGUUACUAGUACCCACUUUACACAACAGUCAGGAAGAACACAUUUUUAAGUUUAUAACUUUUUCUUUUGAAUGUACUAUUGCAAGAAUAGACCAAAGAACUUCACAUGUAUUCUUUGCCUUAAGGCCACAUUCAAAUUUUGCCAUCUGUGCCAUUUGCCGUCAAUGCCUUUAUAGAAAACUGACCCCAAAGAAUAAGAUGUACUAUUGUUAUAAUGGCCAUAUUCCUCAAAUUGAUCUACAGAUUCAACAUAAUCCCUAUCAAAAUCUCAGUUGCCUUUCUGAGAAAGAAACUCACAUUUUCCGGUAUUAAAAUUUACUACAAAGCUAUAGUAAUCAAAACAGUAUAAUAGAGACAUAAGGAUAGUCCAAAAAUAAACUCUUGCUUUUAUGAUGAAUUGAUUUUUGAAAUAUAGUUUUAUUUUAUUUUUAAUUGGCAAAUAAUAAUUGUAUACAUUUAUGGAGUACAAUGUGAUGUUUCGAUGCAUGUAUACAUUGUGGAAUGAUCAAAUCUGGUUAAUUAACAUAUCAGUCACUUCAAAUACUUAUCAUUUUUUGGAGAACAUUUAAAAUCCACUUUUUUAACUAUAUUGAAAUAUAGAAUAUGUUAUUAUUAACUGUACUCAUUAUGCUGUGCAAUAGAUCACCAAAACAGACUCCUCUUCUCUAAUUGAAACUUUGCACCCUUUGACCAACGUCUUCCCUUUCCCUGUCCACUUCCCGACCCAUAGCUUCUGGUAACCACCAUUCUACUCUCUCCUACUAUGAGUCUGACUCUUUUAGAUUCCACAUAUAAGUAAGAUCAUGUAGUAUUUGUUUUUCUGUGCUUGGUUUAUUGCACCUAGCAUAGUAUCUUCUAGUUUCAUCCAUGUUGUCACAAAUGACAGGAUAUCCUUCUUUUAAGGCUGAAUAAUAUUCCAUUGUGUAUAUCACAUUGUAAAAAUUCAUUCCUCUGUUGAUAGGCACUUUGGUUAUUUCCAUAUCUUGGCUAUUGUGAAUAAUGCUGCAAUGAACAUGGAAAUGCCAACAUCUCGUUGACUACUGAUUUCAAUUUCUUUGGAUGUAUACCCAGAAGUGGGAUUGCUGGAUAACAUGUUUGGUCCUAGACUUUAUGGAUGACAGAGAGGGAGUGCUCAUGAAUAACCAGACGCUUACCAGAGGAAAACCAAAACACCAGAAUGAGGACAAGCAGGAUGUGACCAACAAUUUCGAGAAGGUUGUUUCUUUGCUGUGGAUACCGUGUUGAGUGAAUGUUUUGGCUAAAUUCUCGUCCAAAUAGACCUGUUUACAUGGAUCUGCACAGAGGCUGCUGGGAGAGGGCAGUGUUCCCCACACUAGAGAAUCAGAGUUGAAAAAGACACACAGGAUCCCUACUUCAUGAAGCUUACUUUCUUGUAGGCUCCAGAGAGAGCCAUCCUGAUGGAACCUACUGACCAGGAGGACACAAAAGAAAAGAGGGAAGAGAUGAAAGAAGGACAUUUCAAUUAUCCUCUGAAAUGGAAUAAUCCUCAUGGAAGGGCAACAUGAUACUAGAAGCUCAUGAGGAUUAUUUUCAAAGAAAGCUGUGCAGAAGAGUUGGCUCAGCAGGCUUGGCAUGCUCAAACCAGCUCCUGGCAGAUAACCUACAAGCCCUUGGAAUAUUCUGUGCAAUAGGGGUCCUGAACCACUCUAUGCCAAUUUGAUCUCUGGCUGGGCAGGAGCUGGAGAUUAAGUAUUUAAGAUCAGCGAUGUAGGUGUUCUGUGCCUACCUGACUAACCCCCAUUAAACAGUCUGAACACCACAUCUUGGGUGAGCUUCCCUGAGAUUUCAAAAGACUCCUCAGUAUAGUGGAGAUACAUGAGAAAGCAAGAGUGAUCAGGACAGCCACUGUUUCCCUUUGGACCAUUCCUUCUUGAGGGUAACUGAAGAGGUCAAAUGGCUCACUUCUCAUUGUGGAUCAAAGCUAGUUUUAUCAUCAUGUUGGCAUUUUAUCUUUGUUCUGAUACUGCAUUGUCUGAGUUGCCUGCUGUGUUGGCUGAGGUCUGGAGGACUCAUAGAGAGAUUUAGGUGGUCCUCAUUACCUCUGGGCAGCUUGGAAGCCAAACUGUGACAUAUACAAAGACCCAGCACUUGAUUACACCAGGAAAUUUCCUUCUAUCUGUGGAUCCAGUGGUAAAACCUAUGAUAACUCAUGCCUGUUUUGCAUCGCAGAAAGCCUCAACCUCCCAGAUUUAAGCAGUUCUCCCAUCUCA